AUCGAACGCUGGCGGCAGGCCUAACACAUGCAAGUCGAGCGAGCGGCGGACGGGUGAGUAAUGUCUGGGAAACUGCCUGAUGGAGGGGGCUAACUACUGGAACCGGUAGCUAAUACCGCAUACCAUCAGAUGUGCACAGAUGGGAUUAGCUAGUAGGUGGGGUAACGGCUCACCUAGGCGACGCUCCCUAGCUGGUCUGAGAGGAUGACCAGCCACCCUGGAACUGAGACACGGUCCAGACUCCGACGGUAGGCAGCAGUGGGGAAUAUUGGACAAUGGGCGAAAGCCUGAUCCAGCCAUGCCGCGUGAGUGAAGAAGGUCUUCGGAUUGUAAAGCACUUUAAGUUGGGAGGCGUUACCAACAGAGUAAGCACCGGCUAACUUCGUGCCAGCAGCCGCGGUAAUUC
rnacentral:rRNA from 1 species